GAUGAACGCUAGCUACAGGCUUAACACAUGCAAGUCGAGGGGUCUUGAGGAAGCUUGCUUUCGAGAGACGACCGGCGCACGGGUGAGUAACGCGUAUCCAACCUGCCCUUCAUAUUGGGAUAGCCUUCCGAAAGGAAGAUUAAUACCGAAUAACAUAGAGUGGUUGCCUGAUUUCUCUAUGAAAGCUCCGGCGAUGAAGGAUGGGGAUGCGUACCAUUAGGUAGUAGGCGGGGUAACGGCCCACCUAGCCGACGAUGGAUAGGGGUUCUGAGAGGAAGGUCCCCCACACUGGAACUGAGACACGGUCCAGACUCCUACGGGAGGCAGCAGUGAGGAAUAUUGGUCAAUGGGCGCAAGCCUGAACCAGCCAAGUAGCGUGAAGGAAGACUGCCCUAUGGGUUGUAAACUUCUUUUAUACGGGAACAAACCCUGGUACGUGUACCAGAUUGCGUGUACCGUAUGAAUAAGCAUCGGCUAACUCCGUGCCAGCCGCCGCAGUAAGAC
rnacentral:rRNA from 1 species